rnacentral:rRNA from 1 species
GACGAACGCUGGCGGCGUGCUUAACACAUGCAAGUCGAACGGAAAGGCCCUGCUUUUGUGGGGUGCUCGAGUGGCGAACGGGUGAGUAACACGUGAGUAACCUGCUCUUGACUUUGGUAUAACUUCAGGAAACUGGGGCUAAUACCGGAUAGGAGCUCCUGCUGCAUGGUGGGGGUUGGAACGUUUCGGCGGGUGGGGUUGGACUCGCGGCUUAUCAGCUUGUUGGUGGGGUAGUGGCUUACCAAGGGUUUGACGGUUCCCCGGCCUGAGAGGGGAACCGGCGACAUGAGGACUGAGAUACGGACCAGACUCCAACGGGAGGCAGCAGGGGGGAGUAUGACACAGUGGGAGGGAGCGUGAGGAAGAAACGCCGCGUGCGGGAUGACGGCCUGCGGGGUGUAAACAGCUGUAGGCUGUGACGAAGCGGGAGUGACGGUAAUGGAUAAAGAAGCACCGGCUAACUACGUG